CCGAGGCGUGAGGGCUGUCGCUGGCCUUUGAAAGGUUGUGCACGCCCGAGCGCUCUCACACAAUCCAUCUCACCCCCCUUGUGCAUCACCGCGUUGGGUCCUCCUUUCCCGGGGGGGCUCGCGUUUUCACACAAAACUCGAUACAGUCUAGAACGUUUGUUCAUGCGGUCACACGCAAUCAAUACAACUUUCAACAACGGAUCUCUUGGCUCUCGCAUCGAUGAAGAACGCAGCGAAAUGCGAUACGUAAUGUGAAUUGCAGAAUUCAGUGAAUCAUCGAAUCUUUGAACGCACCUUGCGCCCCUUGGCAUUCCGAGGGGCACACCCGUUUGAGUGUCGUGAAAUUCUCAAAACCCUUUUCUUUGACCGGAAGAGGACUUUUGGACUUGGAGGUUCCAUGCUCGCUUUCGCCUUUGUGAAAAGCGAGCUCCUCCCAAAUGAAUUAGUGGGGUCCGCUUUGUCGAUCCUCGACGUGAUAAGAUGUUUCUACGUUUUGGAUUUGGCACUGUCUUUCGGAAGCCCGCUCCUAAUCGUCCCACGGACAAAUGUUGGUGUUCCGGUCCGCCGCCGAAUUUUGCUUUUGGUGGCGGGCUUGACCCACGACAAAAACCUUGACCUCAAAUCGGGUGAGACUA
rnacentral:rRNA from 1 species